AGCGAACGCUGGCGGCAGGCCUAAUACAUGCAAGUCGAGCGCACCUUCGGGUGAGCGGCGGACGGGUGAGUAACGCGUGGGAACGUGCCCUUUGGUACGGGAUAAAUGAGGGAAACUUCAGCUAAUACCGUAUGUGCCCUACGGGGGAAAGAUUUAUCGCCAUUGGAGCGGUCCGCGUUGGAUUAGAUAGUUGGUGAGGGAAAUGCUCACCCAGCCUACAAUCCAUCGCUUGUCUGAGAGGAUGAUCAGCCCCACUGGUACUGAGACACGGCCCAGACUCCUACUGGAGGAAGUAGUAGGGAAUCUUGCGCAAUGGGCGAAAGCCUGACUCAGCCAUGCCGAGUGUAUGAUGAAGGUCUUAGGAUUGGAAAAUACUUUCACCGGGGAAGAUAAUGACGGUACCCGGAGAAGAAGCCCCGGCUAACUUCGUGCCAGCCGCCGCCGUAAGAC
rnacentral:rRNA from 1 species